GAAAUGCGAUAAGUAAUGUGAAUUGCAGAAUUCCGUGAAUCAUCGAAUCUUUGAACGCACAUUGCGCCCUCUGGUAUUCCGGAGGGCAUGCCUGUCCGAGCGUCAUUGCAUACCUUCAAGCACGGCUUGUGUGAUGGGCUGUCGUCCCGACGAUAUACUGUUUGGGACGGGUCCGAAAAGCAGUGGCGGCGUUGCGGUUUUCCGAUCAAGCCUGAGUGUAUGGGGAUUCUAUCACACACUUGCGGCGCGGACCGACGCUGGCCUAUUUAUUUAUUCUUUCUUAGGUUGACCUCGGAUCAGGUAGGAAUACCCGCUGAACUUAA
rnacentral:misc_RNA from 1 species